UCUGGGAUGCGGGGCAGCAGCUCGGGGCGGGCUGCUCUCGCUGCCCCGGGCUGCGGCCGCGGGCGGCGGGGGGCGGUGACGUCACAGAGCCGCUCGCCAGCACAGCGUUCCAUUGAGCCGAGCGCGUGCUCGGGCGAGCACAUGGGCAGCGGGGCCCGCUCCGCUCCGCUCCGCGCCCGGCCCGGCCCGGCCCGGCCCGGCCCCGGCCCGCCCGACCCCUGCCCGCAGCGGCGCCGCGGUCCCAACCCCAUGUGUCCCACUUGUCUGGAAUAACCUUUGGAGUCUGGCAGUCUGGUCCUUUUCAUAGCUCCGGAGGAUUUUUAGGAGCAUGGGGAGCAUGGGAUGCAUGGACCUGUGGACCCACAAAACCCUCUGGAAAAUGCUGGCUGUGGAUAAAAGCAUCUGCAAGUUUCUACCAUCUUUUUACUCUGUUUUUCCCUGGGUCACCCUGUGUCAUUUGUGGCCCUGUCCUGAGGAUUACAGCUUACAGUCACUUACUGGAAUACCUGCCCAUGCAUCUUCUUGAAAUGGAGCCACUGCUUUACCCAGCUGGAAGAUAUUUUCUGUUCUCCCAGAGCUUUUCCAGUGCAGCAGCAGCACUCCUGUCCAGCAGGUCUGGAUUGACUGCAGAAAGGAGAAGGGAGGAGCGUGUCAAAGGGAGGUCAGAUCCUGCCAGGGUUUCCUGGGAAAUGAGGUUUUGCUGUAUUUGCCUCUUCAGGCCUGAUGGGAGGAUUGUAGACUGCUGUUGUGCUUGGGAGUAUCAGAAGGGCUGGAGACUAUCUGGAAUAUGUUGAGGUGUAUCCACUGUUUGGAUGAUGAAACUUGAUGAGCUGCAAUUUGGCUUGGAUUACAGUACUUCAGAAGACUUUCUGAACUUGCCAGGCAACCCUCCCCCUAGACUUUGGGGACAGAGGAGCUUAAAUUUAUAUUUCCAGCAUCACACGAGGAGAUAGAAUGGAGUUGGCUGCUUUACACAAGUAAUGAAAAUCAAUGCUGUGUUGCUCUUGGAAGAAGUGCUCAAAAGGACAAAAGCCUGGCAUAUACAUCUUGGUUUAGAGACAGAUUUUACCUGGGAAGAGUGUGCCCAGGAGAAGAUACAAGAAGGAGAAGAGGUGAUGCUACAAGCCAGCUUCCUGACCUCCAGAGUGGGACUGAAGCUUUGUAGCAAGAUUUUCUAAGUAUGGAAGCUCUCCUGAGGAGCUGCAUUAUGCACUGCUGCCCCUGGGAUGGGACGCAGAGCAAGGAGUGAAGAAGAGCUGCAAUAUGCCACUGCUUUUGUGAGGAGAGGGGCUUUCUGGCAUGUCACAUAGUGCCAAAAGACAUUUUACUCUUGGCAGCAAAAAUCCUUAUCCUUCUUGUUUGUUUUAUUUUUUUCCAGGACAGAUGCUAUUUCCUGUUAGAGAUGCUUUGUAUGCAAAUCAAGGUGGUACAACAAGAAAAAAGUCCUGAAAGCAAUCACACUGAUAAACUCAGCCCACUGGGGAAUUCCUGCUUAUCAUUUAUCUUUUGUUUUUUCAGUUCUGUACCAGAUACUUCUUUGCCUGUGCUUUCUUACAGUCUUUAAUGUUUGUCCUGCCAGACCUCUUGCUUAUGAACUUCAGUGCUUGCAUUUUGCAGGGCUCCAUGUCAGUCUGCACAAAUGAAAGGCAGUAAGUGCUGGAAGUUGGGGUUAACAGUCUCUGUGUUUCAGCUUGAUCUUCCAUUGAUCUGGUGCUUUCUUAAGUUCAAGCCAGACAUGAGCCUCACACUACAGAUUGCCAUGUGCCUGUAGUGAUGAUCUACUGGAAAGGUGAUCACAGAAAUCUCAGGAAUAAAAUAAAUAUAUAAAAAAAAAAAAAAAGAUAAAAAUGAAAAAAAGAAGACAGCAAAAAAUUUACCUAGUAACUUAAACAGGAGCAGGAUUUGACCUGAGGCACCUCGAGAGAUGGUGUGGGUAGCACUGCACUAAUGCUGUAACAAGAGUUGAUCACCUCAUUGCUCCAGCAAAGCAAGCUCACACAGAAUCACAGAAUGGUUUGGGUCGGAAGGGACUGCAAAGAUCAUCUAGUUGAACCUUCUAUCAGACCAGGUUGUUCAGGGCCCCUUCCAACCUGGCCUUGAACACUUCCAGAGGUUGGGCAUCCACAACUUCCAUGGGCAUCUGCUCAGCCCGUGCCCUACAGGUGUCCCUAUAAGUGGAUGGGGCUGAUCAAAGCCUUGCUCUCACCAGGCUGCCACCCUGCUGAUGUUACAACAGUCUGUGAGGGUGAAAAAAAGACUCAGAAAGAGAAAAGGAUGUGUCAGAGCUGCAGAACGGUAUUGCCAAAGAACAUUCUCGUGCGUGUCCAGAGAUAGCCACUGCAGCCCAGGUCCUGUUGAAUCAUGCUGUGGUUGUUCUGGCCUUUGUGUGGGUAACAGUGAUAAUCACUGUGUGUGGUGUUGGGUUUUAUUAUUUUUUUUCCCCUUAAAUGUAAAAUUAACAGUCAAAUUAGCAUUGGUGAGGCAGCAGCCUGGUGCAGCUUUUAUCUAUCCUGAACCUGGGAACAAAGGAGGGGAGGAAAAUGGCUUGACCAGUUUGGCAGCCGUGCACGUAACGGUUCUGGAGUUCAAAGCAAAGGGCACAACAGUCAGAUACCCAAACCCGCCUGGGCUUUGGCUGAUAAGUCACAUUUCAAAGUAAAAGGCAAUCCUAUAGGGGCUCUGCUGAGUGCCUAAAGCUCCAGUGCUGAGACUUCUUUAAAAGGGGAUUUCAUAAGGAGUAAUAUGAACAGAAAUGGCUCUUUUGUGGUUUUACACAUUCCAGGCAUGCCAGGACUGUUCCUGUCAAGGAUGGGCAGUCUCUGGGGUUUUAGGUUCUUUUUAUUUUUUUUUUUUUGCCCCCAAAUAUUUACCACAAACUAGCAGCUGAAAUGGUGAAAAAUAAAUAAGAGUUGCAAAAUCAUUACAGUAGCAGUAAUGGAAACUGUGAGGCUUAUACUUAAACUGGCUGUGGGGUUUCACUCUAUCUUCUGCACUGUUGCUCUGUGAGGAUUACUACUUUUACCUGCUAUGAUCACUUCAGGGUGGAUAAUUUGAAAGAAGAGCUUUAACUGUUGGUUACCCAGGACCUCAAAAAACAGUGCUUUGGCUUUUGGCUUUUUCAGAAGCAAUGCCUUUUCAGCUGAACCACUGUUAAUUCUGAAUUCUUUCAAUCAGUGCAGUUAUGUGGCCGUACAGCAUCUUUAGUGAUGAUUGCUGCCGGUCUGUGUGUACAGAAAUGGGGCCCAGCUGUUCCUGCUUCAGGUGCACUUUUGUUUCACAGAGGUUGUGCAGGCUUAGAUUGCACCCGUACACAUUAACACAGAGUUUUAAUUGAUGUAAGAAUUUCAAUGCACAAUGUUGUGGUGCCUGUCAUCUUAAAGAAGAGCACCUUUGCUCUGCCUUGAAACAGUCUGAAGUUUAACAUGCAAUAGUACAUUAGAUGGUUUGUGUACACCUGCCCUGUUAGAUGAGUGUCUAAUUCAUAAGCCUACAUGUCCCGCUCUUUUCCACAUGGAUACUGCUCCUGUUGCCAUAGUCCUGUGUCUGGUGUAGUAGCAGGACCUCAUGCACAGCUGGGAAAGCCCCAGCCAGAGGUGUUCCUGCUAUCACCUCACAGAAGGUAUGGCUGUAACAAUUAAGUGCCAUUAAAUGUGUGCCUGAGCCUCCCUGAGACACCCUACACAGACACUCAGUACCUUUAUUAGCAGCACACUGCCCACAGCCAGCUCAGCACCUUCAUGAGCUGGAGCUGCACCUUUACCUGUUCUGCAGGUGACACCAAUCCUUCUGUGGGGGAGCAGAAAAUGGAGCCAGGUUCAUCGCAGCAGAGUCUGAAGCAUGGGACCAUAGAUAUCCAUCCUGAGAAUUUGUUUUCCAAGCCCAAGUUUGACUGGGGCACAAAUGCAGACAGAGGGUGAGAAAGCAUCUCUUUGAAAGUGGCAAUAGAAGAGACACUGUUGGAAUGAACCUUCUGGCCUGGUUUUAUUAAAUGUGAAUGUGGUUACAGGAAUGGUGAACAGGAACUGGAGUGGAUUUAGGAGAUGGUUCCUGAAGCCCCCUCCCAUCCUCCAGCACAGGCUGAUGUCACAGGGGAGUCUCAGGGCUGUUCCCUGGGCUGUUUUGGGCCUGUCGGUGGAGGAACUUAAUCACCAGGGUUGCCACUUACAAGAUACAAGGAAGAAGUGCUUGUGUUAAUUCUGUGCUCAACAUACAAACUUUUCGUCUUGGACAAAUUUGGUCUUCCAGCCUUCUGGACUGCUGCCAUUUUGGGUUUGGGAAAAAAAUAUUUUUUGUUCACCCAUCAGUGCUACCAACCACAUAAUUUUGGAGACAAAAAGUCAGAAGGGAAUGUUCAGCAGUGAGCUGCCUUUUUACUAGGCCGAUCUUUCAGGAGUUGGUUUUGAAGUGGAUUUUGUUCUGUCCACUUAAGGUUUCUGCUGUGGAAAUAUUUAUUGCUGUGAAACUGUGGUAAACUUUAUAAGUGGCAGGAAAAACUACUUUUGUAACCAAACAAAUGUGCUUUCCCUACAAGUCACACAGGUGUACAUUUGGAAUUUUUUGGUUUUGUUUUGUACCAGAGAAUUUUUCCACUGUGUUAUCUGGAGUGGACAAAUGAGUGGACCUUGCAUUUUAAUACAGAUUUCAUCCAUUUAAUCACAGCAGAAGCGUACAUAGAGAUUCUCUGUUUUUCUUCUGUUUCUGUGUAUUUGCUUAGUGUUUUGUGUCUUUGAAUCUCUGUUUUCCUUCUUUUUGGUGGUUUGAGAUUUUUGAUAAGAGAUGGUAAAAGUGCUUAAAAGUAUUAAUGUCUUUGGGAAGGCUAAAAAAGUUUUGCAGUGGUGAAGAGAUGCAAGAAACCUGUAGAAGAGCCAGAUUUUGACAGCAUGGGAAGUGGUUAGCGCCUCAUUGGACAUCCUCACAUCAAAGCUGGACAGUGGGCUGCUUGAGAUACUCUGUUUGAACCACAAAUUGCUGGGCUUUGGGCAGAAAUCACUGUAUGAAAUUCUGUGGUCUUUAUUAGGCAGGCGGACAGACAAAAUAAUUUUGCUGGUUUCUCUCGGCUCUUAGAAUUUAUGAAUCACAUAGUCAGGGUGUUCUUGGAGGGGGUUGAGUUUCCAUUAAAAGUUUGCCAUGGUAGCAUGCAGACAACAAAACCCAUCUGUUCUCUUCUCCUUUCAUCAUGCUGUGUUGCUUUCGAAUUGUUCCAGAAGGAGGAUGAAAUUGGGCUUGUUAUUUAAAUUUCAGUAUGGGUGGCCAAAGCAAGUCUACCUUGGUUAUUAUGGGCCUCCUGUGACCACAGGAAUGGAUGGUGCCUUAUGCCAGCCCUGAUUUAACAAACACUUGAGGACCGACUCAGCACUGCAGCAUAGCCCAUGGGAAUUGUGUGCCAUGGGAUCCUGCAGCAAGGCAGUGUCUGGGAAUAUCUGCUUGCACUCUUUAGUAGUAAGGAUAUAAUCAGCCCUUGUAGGCUGGUAUCUGAUUAAAUAGGACAGUGGGGGGGGGGAAAAACAACCCACACUCAUUUACGGUAGUAGAACAUGUGUAGUUGGGAGCAAAGAAUUCAGGUUCUGUCUGAGGUGUGUAUGAACCCAUCUGGGGAGCAGUGUCAGGGAGAGAGUCCAUGGGAUCCUCAUGUGUGAUCAUGUGAGUGAGCUCAUGAUGGAGCUGUGAGACAGAAAGGAACCCUGCAACUCUGGAGAGCAAGUAGGAGCAGUGACUUUGUCCGUUUAAAGAGGGACACGCUGCCUGCUGUCUGUACUUGAAGAAAGGAGGGGAAGUGCCAGGAAGAAUUCUUGGAAAGCCACAGAUGACUUGGGUUUGCUUUGACUCCAGGUGAGAGGAGUGCAAUUUGGUUAGCUGGGAUGAGGGCUGGUAAGGAGCUGACUUGACUGCCACAUCUACAGGAAGAAAGUUUUGAUCAGCAGGUUUGGGGUAAGGAGGAGCCCUUAGAAUUUCUAUAUCCUUUUCCAGAUUUUAGAGGAAAUGUCUCUCUAGUAUUGCAGGUUUAGUUUAAAAUAUUGGGCUUACUAUGAAGAGGUCUUGGGUGAAAGGGACUGAUAUGCAUUGUAGUGAAGGCAGGAUGGAUUUUUUGGGUAUUUCUGCCUUAAUGCUCAGAACUCUGGUACUCCCCAGCACCUUCUUCCCUCAAAGAAGGGAAGCACCUUCCACCCCUCCCUGGGGUAGGGAAGUUCUGCCACAACACUGGGCAUAGUGUAAACUGUCAGGACAAAACGCUUUGGAACCAUCUCAUCUCAAGACAGGUGUCUAAGAUAUCUGGCUUUCCCUCUGGCAAUGUUUGUUGCCCUGCAGCAGCUAUGUUGGAGACCUGAAAUCUGGCUGAGAUGUGGACUCCUGUGCUUUGGGUGUCUGAAACUGCGUGAGGUGAAUGCUCUUCUCACUGCCUGUGUGCAUGAUGAGGAGUUAGUGGAAUAAAGAACCUAACAAAGAGCCGUCUGACACCACCUGAGAUGAAAAUAAUAUGGAAAAUUUAAUAAGUUCUCUGCAGCUGAGCAGUCCCUGGAGGUCCUAUACCAAACCUGACCCACUUGCUGAGCCCCAGCAGUGCAGCACUGGGCACUCCUCUGCCUGCCUGCAGAAGAAUGAAAGGACAGCAGUAUGAAAAAAGACAAGUACAGGGGACAGCAGUCAGUGGUAAGUCUUUAAUAAGAAAAAGCUGGGGUAUUUUGUUAUUAGGAGCAAACACACCUUCUGCAGCAUUUCUCUUUGUGAGGUACUCAGAAAGGAGGGAGGUGUUGGCAGAGGUUUGUUUUCAAUCUGAUUGAAUGUUUUCCCAGUUCUUUCCCUGCACUCUAGGUCAUUCCAUCCCAGUCUUUCCAGCCAUGCCAUGUUGGGAAGCAGCUGUGAGCUCAUCCUCAGGGCUGAGUUCUAACAUGUAGCUGUCCUAGGGUCGACUGCUUUGCAGGGAUGGAGGGAGGGUUCUUGCCACUGGCAAGGAGCAGCAUGACUCUUUUACCAGUUUGCUGUCAGGAUGGCCUCCCAUGAUGGCUCAUCAUGAGCCCAGCCUCCCAUCUCUAAGCUUCCCAGAGAUGUUACCACUUUACCAUGGCUUCGAAUUAGGGCAUCUGAGUAAAUAAACUGCAGUUUGUUUUACCCAAAACUUCUGGGCUUUGAGAGGAUGAUAGCAGUGGAUUAUUAGUAGCAAACUAUAAUUCAUAUCCCCUUUCCAGGUAGAUGUUGCUGAGAAGAUGAUUCCCAUGUGCUCCUCAGAAAGGCUGCUGAGCUGCCAGACAAGCACCAAGCUUUCCCCUUCCUGUGUGUACCUGUCCUGCUGCUGCAGCCCUUGCUGGACCCAGGGAGGAUGCAAGGCUCUGGCUCUUUGAAUGGCUGUCCAGAAUAGUGAGGGAAAACUACCUCCUCCCUGGACGCAAACCACAUUGAUUUUCUGGUGUUUUUUCUUGUUGGUUUUUUUUUUCCUUUUGGCUGUCUGAAUAACUAAGUACAAACCUCUUUCACCCAUUUGACAUUAAUUCACUAAUGGAUGGCAGAAGGUUUCAUGUUUGGUUUUUAGCUGAAGAAGUGAUGAUGCAAUUAUAAACCUCACAUCUAUUAUAUAUCUGAACCAUGUGAAAAGUGUGAAUUUUUACAGAAAAUGUGAGAAUGGUGGGGGUUGUGGAAUAAACUUUUUUGCCUGAAUUUUAUUCUAAGUCUUGAAUGAAUGAGAUGUAUUUCAUGGGACUCAGCUGUGAUUUUUCCCUUUUGUUCCUUCAGUGUUGGGCUUUUUUGUUGGUUUUGUUUUUGGGUUUGUUUUGUAAUUAACAUAUUUACUCCACAAGUUAAAUGGUUUCUCAUAAAAAAGUUAAUGUCAAAAGAAAAGCGAGGAUGAGGAGAGGCCCGACAUUGGGUUUUAGUUAUCUCCUAUUUUUUCCUUUUAAGCUUCAGCAAAAUGGCAAUUGUUUAAUUUGACCGACUUUCAAAUCACAUUAGCAGAUUAAUACAGAAUAGGAAGGACAAUCACGUGAACUUCAAAAAUGCAGCAGGUCAGGACAGGAGAGAACAGCAGCAAUCCUGCUCUGACUGUCUGCCUAGACUGGGCUGUUUUAGUGUAUCCUACAACAUUUUUGUGUCACCAAUAACACAUUUCCAGUGACUGGAAGGGGAUAAGGAAAAAGGAGCCCCCUGUGCUCCUUCCCCAUUUUCCUUGGCUCCCUUUCAGGUGUCAGCAGUGUGCAUCUCACAGUCACUACCCUGCACCAAGCACUUUGUUCUUGUGUAGAGCACAUCAGUGCAGGUGAGUGCAAGAGGCUGCUUGCUCUGGUCCCUGAGCUCUGGAGCCUGCCAUAGUGCCAAGGCUGAGCACAAAAGCCUCACCCCGAGGGAGGGUACAUCUUCAGUUAGCAGCAGGGAGCUUGGUUGCAAUAUUCCAAGGGCCCACUGAGCUCAUUCACUUCUCUCCUUGCUUGUGGGAGGAUGGACCUUUGGCUAUGAUUUAUCCAAGAUUUACUAAGCUGCUCUUCUCCACAACAGGUCUGCCUUUGCAGGGAAGGCAUGACAGCAGCUUCCUCUGGGUUUGGAAAAGUCAACUCCACAGUUACUCUCUUCCUGGAGAAGCACAUUUGAUUUACCUUAGGAAAUUAGUGCUGCUGCAUUGACCUUGAUGGAUCUGGGCUGUGUGGUUUGUGUUUGGUUCAGGAGAGCUCAGUGGCAUUUCUGAAUCACUAUCAAAACAGUUCACUGUGUGAUAACUUCAGCAUUCCCAGCUUUGGCCUUUUGGCAGAAGCAGCAGUGCUUUUUCUUCCGUAAGUACAUGAUUUUUUUCUGGCACUUGUCAGGUGUAGGGAAGGGUGAUCUUGGUGUUGCAUCUCCUGAGCCUUUCCUCACUGUUAUCCUCAGCCAGCGCCUAGGAAAGAUGAGCUGGUUAUCUGUGAAAAAGAAUUGUUUCUGAAUGAUUGAUAUGUGGAAAUAUCCAGUCUCUGCCUGUCUGCUUUUCUCACUGUGAGACUAAGGCUUCACCUCUGUCUUCUGUCCUUAUUCCCAUUUUGAUGAUAGGAAACAGGCUGGCCAAGCAGCUGCAGAAAAGAUAGCAAAUCCAAGAAACGUGGGAUGCUGAUAUAUCUCCUCAGUGUUUGGAGUGAUGCUGCUGGGGGUGCCCAGUCUCAGGUGAGCUCAGGUGAGCUCUCUCCUGCCUGCCUGGGACCUUGUAGCCCCAGAGUAUGAGUUACUACCAAAAUUUAGCACUGUCUCAGCCUGGUCAACAAAGAAAUAGCACUCUCUGCUCAUAACUGGAGGGAGAUAUGGCUCUGCUUGGCUUCUUGAGAGCUUCCUAGAGUUUGUGCACAACUCCAUAUCCAAAGCCUGCCUUUGCCUGGUGCCUGACCACCAGGUGACAAGCAGAGGUACAAAAUCCCUGUCCCCAGCCAUCUGCAGAGAGAGGAGUUACCCAGGGACCAGCCCUGGCAUUGCUCCCUGAAGCUCAUGGAAGUACUACUGCUUCCAGAUUUCCUGCCUGUCCCCUGCAUGUCCAGUCAUGUUUAGCAGAUUGGGACUGGGAAUCAAAGGGAUGUAGCACAGUUUGGGGUCUGUGAAUGGUUGCAGAAAUCUGGGGUGGGGCGAUGAGAGCAAGGAGUGAUAAUGUGCUAAGCCACUGCAGGUGCUGGAUCAACAGAGGGUGAAGCAGCCCCUUGCUGCCCUCCCACCAGCAGGCUCCUGCAGAGAUGUGCAAUUCAAACAGCAGAGACCUGGGAGGUCUGCUGACUUGUGGCACCUCCUCUUGCCCUGGUUGGCAGCCAUUGUUGGAUGUGUUGCCUCAUGCCAAAUUUAUUCAUAGAUGCCUAAUCCUCUGCAGCCAACCAGCUUGGUGUCAAGGACUUCCUUCCAGGAGCCAGAUAUGUCAGUACCAUUAUACGUGUGGGUCUUGAGUGACUUGUGCAAGGCCAGGCAGCAAGCUUGUGGCUGAGCAGGUGUUGAAAACCAGCUCUCCCAAGCUUCGAGUUGGCAGCCUUUCCACCAGGAAAUCCUUCAUUUAACUUUCCACCACAGCAGAUGGGCUUGCAUCGAUGUAGGAGGGAAGUCUCCAUGUGCUCGUGCAUUUCUUCCCAUCCUUCUUCACCUUCUCACACUUCUCCCUGAAGGCAUCUUCUCUCAGGGCAAAGAAAUACUGUUUGGUGUCCAGGAGAGAGGAGAAAGGGAGCUGGAUUGCCUCUGGCACCAUGCACUGAAGAAAAUAAUGGAAUAGUUUUGGACAAGGUUCAAGGCAGGUCAUGCAAGUUUGCAAAUGGCUUCUGCAGUGCUCCAUCACCAGCUCUUAUCCAUGAGAGCCUGUCAGGUGUAGCAGCAGGUUUCUCUGCCACCCCUCACAUCUCUUUCCUUCAAAGCGGGAACAAACUGCCCUGGAACACGCUGACCUUUGGCAUAAUUAUUUCUGCUUUUUUUUCCCCCCAAGUCAGGGGCACCGGAGCAAAAGCUGAGGAAAGCUAAAACAACCUCAGCUUUUUGUCAGCUUUCCUUGCAACAGUGACAGGGCUGUUGUUCUGCUCUUGGCAUUAAGUAAGAAAUCAGUGUUACCAUGGGAGCAAACUCCCAAACAGGUGGCGAUCACACACAUAUUAACCUGAACCAGUGCAGGAGGCACCACGUCCCCCUGCGGAUCCGCCAAGGGUAGAGGAGAUCUCAUUACUCUUUGUUUGUGCUCAGAGUGUGGCUGUCCAGAGGAUGGUGCCCAAAUAGAUAAGGCUCUAGGCACAGAUGUCCGGUUUGAUUAUUCCUUUCCUUUUGCAACAAACCAUAUGGUACUGUGGGCAGCACAGAUAUCUGGCAAUCAAAAUUCCUGGGCUCCCUCCCUGACUCCGCCAUUCGCUCAUUUAAUUUUCAAAGUGGUUUUCAUGCAUCAGCAAAACUUGCUGCCUUGAACCUCCCCACCCCCUUAAAACAAGAGCUCCCCCACAUCACUGGAGGUGCUUUUAAAUAUGUCACCAUGUCCUGCUUUGCUAUCGCAAAAUUAGGUGCACUUAAUGCUGGUAAACUACUUUGCCACCAACAGAUAAAAGGCAUUACAGACAGGUUGCUAAUCAGUUUGAUUAAGUAAAGCACCUAAAGUUUGCCACUGCUGCAGGACGAUUGCAGGCUGAUCCAUCUAUAACCCGCAGGAGUAAGAUGAAUUAGGCAUGAUAAGCAUUGUUUGGUUUCUGGUGCGUCAACCAGUGAGUGAAAUGACUUGGUGUUUAUAUGCCAGGUCACAGAGAAAAGUUUCUUGCGAUUGGAAAUGAUUAGGCACACUGAUUAAUGCUUCCACUGCUCUUUGAUCCAGAGCUGCCAGUUGGAAUGAGUCUUGCUGCACGGAGACAUCCCAACUGCCUGGUAACGAAAGUGCAGGGGGUAGAAAAUUGACUGAGAAAAUGCGGGUGGGGAUGGGAAGGCUCUGCUCUAAGAUAGGCUCUUUUUCCAUCGGGCUCCAGGCUUGCAUUCUUUGAACCAUCCUCUUAUUCCUGGAAGUCAAGGCAGUUUGUAACUCAUAUUGUGCUUGUCAGGUUUAUUCAUUUUAAAGAAAAUGUUCAGGAAGAUUGCCAAGUCAUCUGAACUUCCAGCACUGAUAAGGACCUCUGGGUCUGCUAAGUUAAGAAGAAAACAUCCCAAGUCCAAGAAAAGCUUUAGAAUACAGCACUUUCUGAGUAGUCUCAGCUCUUGUGAAAGUUAUUUCUCUCAAUGUGCAGGUGGCAUCUCCUUGUGAUGGAUGUUCCUUCUUUCAGCCAUAGGAAUUCCCAUUUUUAACCCUCAAUUAGAAUACCUCCCUUUUAUCAUAGGUGAAAUAUUUGAAAUAAUUUCCUAUGACAGGACACAGGAAGAUUUGCUUGAGUAAGAGGAUUCCCCAACAUUUCUUACCAUUCCAACACCAGCACACCAUUUGUCUUCAUUAUUUUGCAUCUCCUUUAUACUUUGGGUUCUAUGGUUGAACCUCGAACCAGCUGGGGGACACAAACAUGGCUGCAUUGCCCACUACAUUCUCUUUACAGUCAGGACUGCAUUGUUUGUCAUGCUCAGUGUCAUACCUGUCUAUCCACACUUGGUCCUUCUGAGGUGAUGUCCUUUUUUUGUGUGGUUUGUGUAUAUCAGGAUGGGAUUUCAAUAAAAACCAAGCAUAACUUGUUAGCAGGUGGUGAAUGGUCACUCAAAAGAGCUCAGGAAAAUUAGGAGUGAAGACUCUAAAAUGUUUGGAUGUACCAAAGAGCUGAAUUUUGGGUGUCCACACCCAUGGGCAUUAAGCCAUUCCCAAAUCACUCUCUGUUUUAGGACAGCCCCAGAUCCAUAGCAACUUGCCUCACAAUUCUACUGGAAACCCAGGUGGUUGAGCAGCUACAGCUCCUUUUGUUCAGGGAAGGGAGGAGGCAGGGGCUGCCCCCUCCUCAGGCUACCCAAGGGCAUUCCUGCUGCUCGUGACCAGCUCUGUGCUGGCCACCUCUGUGAGCCCUGCCUGAGCACUGAGCAUUCUGGCCAUCCCACAUUUCUCUCUGCUUGUGUUUGUGCUGCAAACUCCUGAUUUUACAAAGCAUGGGAAAACUUUUGAGAUACUGGAAGUUUUCAGGAGAUGAGAAACCAGUGGAUGAAAACUGAUGCUCACUGGGGAUGUAGGUCAGUGUAAGGAGGAAAUUCUAAUGCUUUUUUAACCAAACUUCAGUUUCUUUGGGUAUGUCUGUGUUUUCCAUGUUUUGCCAAGCACAAGAGAGUGGUUUGCAGAGACCAGCAUUGAGAGCUUCUUUGACAUGGAAGGCCAUCUUUGACAUCUUCCUCUUGAGUCAAUUGGCUGCAGAGACACCUGGCCAGACACCUUCCCACCACCAUUUCACAUAUCCAGGGACUGUCUGUGCCUUCCCUGUACUCGCAGGCCUGGGACCACAGCUGGUCCCCAAACAGAGCCUCUGAUCUCUGAUAGCUCAUGAACUCACCCCAAGAUGGGCUGGCAGCUUUGGGAUUUCUUCUCUGCUCAGCUGUUUUCACAAAAUGCAUUGAAAACUUACCAGCUCAGUUUACCAUGUCAGUUCUCUGACAUGUUUGGUUCCUUCCAGCCAAUGUAUUCAGCAGAGGGAGCAUGGAUGGUGAAUUACUGGAUAUUUUUAUAUGGGAAAUUGGUAUAAAUGUAAGUAUACAUCAGUUUCCUGCCUUUGUGAAGUUGUGCUUCAUUCCUGUUUUCAAGCCUGUGUUGUCUUCCUGUGCAUGGUCUGAAUCAGUUAAUAUCUAAUUGCAGAUCAUUUUUUUCAUAAAAAUAGGUGCCUACUCUGCCUGUUUUCCAAUUUCCAGGUGGCUCCAUGGUGGCUGCUUGGUUGCUGCCUGCCCUGCUGCUAAUGUUCCUGUUUUCCUCCCCAGCUUGUAUGGCUGCCCUGGCAUGUUGCUGGGACAGGGAGCAGUGACGCAGGGUCUCCUGGAAGCCUGUGGAUGGGCCAAGUAAAACACAGCUGGGCAUCAUCCCAAGUACCUCAAAGACUGCUGCACCGAAAUUACCUGUUUCUGGUCUGUCUGGAAAGGGUCAAUAGAAAACAAGAUUCCAUUGGAACACUGAAACAUGUCAUUGCAACACUCGUGGUCAGUGUUAUGUGAGUAUACAUUAAGAGUCAGCUGAGUCUAAAUAAACAUGCAGAAUGCCUGGUUUUGGCUAAACAAGAAGUGCCAGCUGUUUGCACCGGUGUUUCCUCCAUGCUGUGGGCUACCUGCUGGCUUUGCAGAGGUGGAACAGUUUUGGGUGUCAUUUACUUGAAGCACUUUGUCAUGCCCUCCCACAAGCCCUCCUUCCCUCUGUCUGGCUGCUUGCAGGUUUUCAAUGAAAGGCCCUGUUCACACAUGGAGAACCCAAAUUAUCUCUAAAUAAACCAGUAUAUGUGGAGAGUAAUUCACGAGCACUUCCAGCACGGUGAUAAAUGGCAGGCAGGGCCACUGUGUACAAGGUGGCCCCUCAGGCAUAUGUCUCAAUCAAGUUGUGCAAAGAUACUGUAGAAGGGUAUUUAAACCUGACCUUAAAAUAAGAGCUGUGUCUUUUGGAGCUUUAGAGACCAGAUUGUAAGUGACAGACAUGCAGUAUUUGAUCUGUCACUUCUUGUCUAACUUUUUAUUUCCAGAACUUGACUCAUCAAGUUUUCCCCACUAUUUCUCCCCAUAUGACUACCAGUCUACUUCCUGAAAAAACAGCAGUCACCUUAGCUUCUUAAAGACACCUUAAACAGGCAGGUGUGAUAAAUAAUUACAAUACAUUUGAAAAGUUUGUGAACUGGCCAUCUGUUUUCAAGCCCUUGCUGACAAAAUUCUAGAAGUCCAGUUGAGCUUUGCCUUAGCAGAUGCUAUUCUUCUGUGAUGACCAAGAGAGAGGAGGAAAGUCUGCAAAUGCAAGAGCUGUAGGAGGUUGUGGCCAGCUUUAUCCCAGCAGAUUAAAGAGGGACAAGGCAUAACCCUGGGCACUGGUGUAUAGCUGUCCAUUCUGUAAGCUGUUAGCACAGCUCCAGUCCCAGCUAGAGCUGCUCCAGGCAGUGCCUGGGCACCAUCUGUGGAUGCACACUGGCCAGAGGCCAUCGCCAGCAGCAAUUAGGCAGCAGGCAUCUUGUUCUGGGGAUGUGAAAGGGCUUGGCUGUCUGGAUAUGAGCAGCUGGGUAGUUGGUUCCAGUGCCAAGGGAUGGAACCAACUUGUCUUAUUUACAUGUAUGAACAAGAUGAAGGUUUUGGAGUACAGGAGCCUCAGUGGUGAGGUAGAACAGAUGUGAAUUUUGCAAUUUCUAUUAAACUUUACUUCUUUCAGAUACUGUCUCUCUUGAAAAUCCUGUGCUUGCUGAAUUUCCAUUACUGCUCUCACAUGACAAGGAAGGAAAGAGACCCUUGGACUUCAGACAGUAGACAUAAAAUAAUGUGGAAGAAAUGUUAAAUGACAGGAGGAGUUUUGUUCUGGUGUACAGACAAACUGUAGGAGAUUCAUAGAUCACUGAUGAUACAAUUUGUGAGAAGAAGGCACAGAAGGAAAGACAGCUCAAAAUUAUGGGAAUAUUAAACACAAAUAGUAUCCAACCUGAUGUGCAGUGUCUUACUUGUCACAUAGUAGUGUCUGCUAUUUCUGUACACAUCUCUACUAGUGUCUGUUUUAUUAUUAGGAAUAAUAAAAGACAUCCACUGUAGUCAAACUGGUCAUGCUUGUUGUUGAAAAAAAUUACUGUUUUUCUGCCCUUAAAAUUCUAGCUGGAAUUGAUCUCAUUCAAUGCUGUAAAGCUCAUCCUUCAUAAACAAGCAGUCUUGGAAUCCAGCACGGAUGAGUUAUAGAUGAAAUGUAUUUUUGCUCAUUGUGUCAAUGCAUUGCCUGUACUGGGGAACCAACAUUGAACACAAUACUCCAGAUGCAGUCUCACAAGUGUCAAAAUGAGAAUUAAAACUUCUUUAACUUACACAGUUGUCUGACCAUAGGAAGUAGCCUGGUUGGUCAGCCAAGAGAUCAACAGCACUCUGCUUGUCUACACCGGCAUGAUGGGUUAUCUCCAGAGGAGCUGGCAUGUCUUUGGCUAAGGCACUAAGCUGAGAAAUGUGCCUGGCUUGAAGAGUAGAAGGUGGACCUUGGUCCUUCCUGUUUGCACCACACUGAUGUAUCUUCGUGUCCUGUUGAAAUGUACUCCCAUGAGCAUAAGAUGCCUGGUCUAAACAAAGAAGGAGGCAACAGGGAUUGUUUUGGUAUCACAGAGGGCUUAGUGUAUAGGAUGGUUCUUUCUCUGUCCUGAAUGUUCUUUGAACUUAUUUCUGAAUGAAACCUCAUUCAGUUUUUUAAUCUUCUGCUUUUUAAUAUUAGACCUGAAGAGACAUGCAGCUUGACUGAGGUGCUGUGCUGUAGCUAAACUGCUCUGGUUAGCAGAGCUGUGAAAGAUUUUGCAACAUUUGCAGCAUGGUAAAGUGAAGAACCAGGUGAAUAAAUGAGUAGCCCUAAAAUGCUGAAAAUGAAUGCUCUGUGAUGGGUUGAGGUGCUUGGGGGAAAAAUCCCCCCUUUCCUUGCACCCCCAUCCUUUCGUUAUGCUCACAGUGAAGGGGAUCCUUACAGGGGGAGGUACAAAGCUCUUGUCACGUUCCCAAAUGUGCACUGAGCAACCCCAGUGCCUCUCCUCUCAGGCUGGGAGGUCUGAGCACUGCCAAAAGCUUCUGGCCCCCUCUCCCAGCCUGGAGCUUUGAAUGAAUAUCGUUGGCUCCAUGACACUGCAGGUCUGUUGACUUGUGUUUGUAUGUUUGUGCUGGGAUGUGUGCACAACUCAAAAGCAGGUCUGAGGUUAAGUAAAGCCCCUUGCUUGGUGGGGAACCUUGAUCAACAUGUCACAGAACGUGACAACUUCCAUAAUGGUUUUUAAAAAAUGUGUACAGGGUUAGCUGCCAGCUUCCAGGGAGGGAUAUGUGUAACCACUUGAAAUAUUCGACCUCUGAGCUCUGCCAUCUUCUCCAGAGCAGUUUUGAAGACUUUGUUUGAUUUCUCUGUGCCAGCCAGUUACUGUGCUAUUUAUCUGACAUCUUUGAGUUUUGUGUGGCUUACUGAAGGGUUUUUCAUGUCAGAGACUUAAUAUAGGUUUUAGUGUUCUGGUUUUUUUGCUAGUGUUCUAACUGAAAAAGAAUUGUUGGCUUUCUUAAAAUUUUAUAUUAUUUCUGUCUAUAUUUAUGUCUCUGUUUAUGGGCAGAUAUUUAAUACUUUUGAAAAUUUACUCCUUUUAUCAUGUCUUAAUUCAGGCAUCUAAAACCAUGGCCCACUGUGAAUUUAGGCCAAAAAGCCCUGCCAUGACAUGACACAGUUUUCUCUUGGUUGGCCACACCACUUAGCACAGAUGAGUUUGGAGGUGGAUGGGGAUUAUGGAGAGAUCAUGUCUUAAGGCUGUUGUGGUGACUUAGUUCAGGUAUCCUCAGAGACUGAAUAGCUGAUGGCUGCUUCAGCAUGGGAAGAAUGGUCAAGUCUGGAUAAUGCCACUCUGAACCUCAUCUGGCCUCUGGUGGUACCUUGCAAGCCUUGGGUUUCAGAGGACUUCCCUGGUGUUUGAGAUUCUCAAAGCAUGAAGAGCUGCUGAGCUUUGAGGGUGCCACCACUGACAGAAAUGUGGUGUUCAACAAGAGCCUGAAGAUAUUUCCUCCUUUAGUCCCUUGUCUAGGAUGCAAAUGUGCCACUUUUCCCCAGACUGGGAAAAUGUUUUCUUCAGUCACUCAAAUACCAGAAAACAAUGCAUUGGAGAGCAAGGGUUAGGGGGAACUCAGUCUUGCCAUCUUCCCAGUGAGGAUAUAUCCCUUCCUUUUCACUUGUGUGUUGUCCCUGAAGCUACAAACUCAGGUUGCAGUUGGAUAAGUGCUUACUUAGUGUAACACUGAACUGUCUCUUUCAAGGGCUUAUAGUACUACGUUGAAUUAGGACUUUAGAAAGGUAAAAGCCAAGCUCCCUUUGCCAAGAGAAGCUUCCAUUCAUAGAGUCAGGAAGUGAUCUGACAUGGACACUGAUGACCUGCUUUGUUAUCUGUAUGUGAAAUCUGGCUCUGCUGAAACCAGUGGCAAAACUGCCAUUGAUUUUAAGAGUUAUGACUUUCAUUUUCUGUAUGUUUAUUUGCAUUACUUUUUUUCCUGUAAUGUUUGAUAUGUAGGCAUAGAGGUCAGGAGGAAAAUACUGAUAUGAUUGAGACACACUUUCCAUUAUGGUAAGGGGUGGGCAGAUGUCACUGUGGGAAGAUACAUUCAGAGUUUUGCCUAGCACUUUGAAAUGCUUUUGAUUUUUCCUACCUACCAUGCUUCAGCCUUCCAGGUUAAACUUAAAUGUGUAUGAAUGGCAGGUCUUAUUAUUUUGAGUGUUCUGUGUUUUUCUUCAUUAUUUAGAUAUCAAACUUGCAAAACAUUCCUUUUAGCAGGGCAAUUAUCCUCUACUGGGUCUUAAUGAGACCAGUGCUUCCUUUCCUGGGAAAGUAUGUGCCUCUGGUGAGAGAAGCCCACCUUUCACAAACCACAGCUAAAACUUGUUUUUUUAACUGAAGCACAAAGCACACAGCCACUUGUAAAUGUCAGUUUCCUUAGCAUGAAGCAAAUAUACAUUUUGGAAAUGUGGGACAGAGAUGUUUUGAUGUGGGUCUUGAACAGGGUUUCAGUAUAGAGAUAGCUCAUCUUUAAUUUAUGGUUACAUGCAAUUGAACCAUUCCAGGAAAAGCCAUUUUGUGGUUCUUGGGCCAGGGAAGAAGAAGAAGAAGGAGGAUAAAAACCUUCUACCCUAAACAGGGUAGAAGGACAGACAGGACAGAUCUAUGUUCCCUAAAUGAAAACUUAGUAAAGACCUCUUAAAAUAUUUCUCAUAAUUAAAAUCACUGAGAGAUUUCUGCUAAAACUCUUUCAGGUAUCAGCUCUUCUUUCUCUGGGAAAAAGAGAAAAACUCCUUUUUUUUUUUGUUUGCUACCUCUGUUGCCACAGGCAAAUUCAGUUAAAUUCAGCUGGCAGCCAGUCACCAGUGGUGUCUCCCAGGGCUCAGUACUGGGGCCAGUUCUGCUGAACCUCUUUAUCAAUUACAUUGAUGAGGGGAUCAAGGGCACCCAGUAAGUUUGGGUGAAGCUGGGUGGGACUGUUGACCUGCCAAAGGGUGGGAGGGCUCUGCAAAGGGAUCUGAGCAGGCUGGGUUGAUGGGCUGAGGUUCAACAAGGCCAAGUGCCAGGUCCUGCACUUGGGUCAUAACAACCCCUGCAGUGAUACAAGGUAGGGGCAGAGUGGCUGGAAAGCUGCCCAGAGGAAAAGAACCUCUGAUCAGCAGUGGCUGAACAUGAGCCAGGGUGUGCCCAGGUGGCCAAGAAUGCCAAUGGCACCUGGUCUGCAUCCAAAAAAGUGUGACCAGCAGGACCAGAGCAGUGAUUGUCCCCCUGUGCUGAGCACUGGUGAGGUCACACCUCAAUCCUGUAUUCAGUUUUGGGGCCCUCACUGCAAGAAAGACACUGAGGUGCUGGAGUUGGUCCAGAGAAGUGUCAUGGAGCUGGGAAAGGGGUUGGAGCACAAGUCCUGUGAGGAGCAGCUGAGGUAGCUGGGGGUGUUAAGCCUGGACAAAAGAAGCCUUGUCACUCUCUACAACUCUGUCAAAGGAAGUUGUAGCCAGGUUGGAGUCAGUCUCUUCUCCUAAAUAACAAGCAAUAGGACAAGAGAAAGUGGCCUCAUAUUGUGCCAGAGGAGGUUUAAAUUGAAUAUUAGGAAUAAUUUAUUAAUUUUUUUCACUGAAAGGGUGUUCAAGCAUUGGAACAGGCUGCCCAGGGAGUUGGUGAAGUCACAAUCCCCAGAGAGAUUUAAAAGACAUGUAGAUGUUGCACUUUAGGGACACAGUUUAGUGGUGGACUUGGAAGUGCUGAGUUAAGGAUUGGACUCAAUGAUCUUAGAGCUCUUUUCCACCCUAAAGAAUUCUAUGAUUUGAAGAUGUAGCCACAGGUUUUAAUCUGAUUAUGAGACCUGCUGCAGGAAAUUCUCUGGCCUUUCUUGUGCCCAGUUUUGACUCAGUUGAUUCAAAAUGGCAUUUUUUUUGCCUGAAAAGUCAUCAAUCAUUUGAGUCCAGCCAAAAAUUUUAGUCAUGUGGUAUGUUUAUGGAGAGAGUUACAGUCUUUUAGGAGUCAAAAACAUUUUAUAAACAGUAAUUGGUUCAUGACUUCCUUCUACACAUAUGCAGCCACCACUAAGGAUGAGGAAUGUCUUGGGUUUUUGUAGGGGUUAUCAAUAGCAAAGAUGUAUGUAGGCAGCACACAAUCUUAAAAAAACCUGGAUUUUAUCAUAACUUUAUAUUCAUCCUUCUAAAAGAGCUAUGGAAUUUUUUAGGAGUCUGUACCUGUUGGUCUGUAGGCACCAGCAGUGAUUAUAGAAUCAGAGCAUCAUUAAGGUUGGAGAAGACCCCCGAGAUCAUCAAGUCCAACCUUUGACAGAACACCACCAUGCCCAGUAAACCAUAUCAUGAUGUUCCAUGUCUACCCAGGGAUAAUAAUUCCACCACUUCCCUGUGGAGCCUUCCAAUGCUUGACCAUUCUUUCAGUAAAGAAAUUUUUCCUAAUGUCCAACCCGACCCUCCUUUAGUGCAACUUUGGGUAAUUUCCCAAUGUCUUAUUUCUAGUUUUGAUUGUUUUGGGGCUAGUGCUACUGUUCCAAGAGUGGUAACACAUUGCUGGAUUAUCAUUACCUUGGCCUGGAAUAUCUCAGUGCUCUUUGAUCAGCAUUUGGGUGAGAGAAAUUUCAUUGUAGCCCGUGUCUGGCACUGCAGGUGCCUGUGUACUGCAAAUACAGCUGCGUGUCUGGCAGCACUGCCUGUGUGCCUGUCCCUGCUCAGACCAGCUGCCUCGGGCUCCUUGCUGAAGGCUCUCACCUCAAGCACAGAGCUGUUCUGCACUGUGGUAUAUUCAGCCUUUACUGAUGCUCUCCACGGCUUCUCCUGACAGGAAAAUGGGUCCUUGGCUAAUCUGUCAGAAAUUGGCUUGUCCUAAAUCAUAGGAACAGUGAAAAGCUUGUAAGGCUGACUCUAUCAGUCAGCCUUUCCUUAUUUCUAUUACAUGCAGCUUUGCUUAUGUCUCUGACACUUUAAGGAAUAUUCAAAUUCUGCUCUUAUUUUCUUUUUCUUCAGACCAACUGUCUUUGGGUCUGAUCCAGACCCCAGUCAGUUUGAGGGAAGUGUUCCUAAUGCUAUUGGCUGUCUUUGGAUCUUCUCCAUCGCUUGCAUUGCUCUUUAGUAAAUUGGAGGCACACGAUUGACUUCUUAGAAAGCUGAUCUCAGGAAGGUAGAAAUCAAAUAAUUCAGUGUAGCGCCUCAGUGCUCUGCUUGAAACAGAUCUGUCAGAGGGUUGCUCACCCCAAAGAAAGAGAUAACAAAGGAAGGAUUUUCUCCUGAAUAUAGUAUGGUUUCUAAUAUUUUCUAUUAAAUACAAUCAAAUGGAAAAUAUAAAAGAGAAAGAAAUCUUUUUGUGCAGCUUGCUUCCUCUGCACCACAGACAAAUUCCACAGGAUCAAUUACUUACAUCCCUACUUGCUAUAAUAAAAGACCUAAAAACGUA